rnacentral:rRNA from 1 species
AUGUCACAGUACUGGUGGGGAGAUGAGGAUGACAAGAAGCAUAUGCACUGGUUUGCGUGGUGGAAAAUGUGUGUGCCAAAGAGCAAUGGAGGUAUGGGGUUUAGAGAUGUACACUGCUUCAAUCUGGCGCUCCUAGCAAAGCAGUGCUGGAGACUGUUAGCAGAACCUGAUUCUUUGUGUGCAAGAGUAUUAAGGGAAAAGUAUUUCCCGGACGGUGAUUUGCUGAACUGUCCUCUCAAGAAAGGCAGCUCUUACACAUGGCAAAGUUUGUGGAGUGGUAUUCAGACUUUCAAAAAAGGUUAUAUAUGGAGAGUGGGAGAUGGCACUCAAAUAAGUAUUUGGAGUGAUCCUUGGAUACCCAGCAGCCCAAAUAGAAAGGUAAUGACUCCACGAGGUAAUAUCCUACCUACAAAAGUUUCUGAACUGAUGGAUGAGGAGAAUGGGUGCUGGGAUGAGCAACUUAUUAGAUAUAUAUUUCUGGCCAAUUGA